rnacentral:rRNA from 1 species
UGGGGAAUCUUGCACAAUGGGGGAAACCCUGAUGCAGCGACGCCGCGUGAGCGAUGAAGCCCUUCGGGGUGUAAAGCUCUUUCGGCAGGAACGAUAAUGACGGUACCUGCAGAAGAAGCUGCGGCUAACUACGUGCCAGCAGCCGCGGUAAUACGUAGGCAGCAAGCGUUGUUCGGAGUUACUGGGCGUAAAGAGUGUGUAGGCGGUUCUCUAAGUUUGGUGUGAAAUCUCCCGGCUUAACUGGGAGGGUGCGCCGAAAACUGGAGGGCUCGAGUGCGGGAGAGGAGAGCGGAAUUCCUGGUGUAGCGGUGAAAUGCGUAGAUAUCAGGAGGAACACCUGUGGUGUAGACAGCUCUCUGGACCGCCACUGACGCUGAGACACGAAAGCGUGGGUAGCAAACAGG